rnacentral:rRNA from 1 species
UGGGGAAUUUUGGACAAUGGGGGAAACCCUGAUCCAGCCAUCCCGCGUGUGCGAUGAAGGCCUUCGGGUUGUAAAGCACUUUUGGCAGGAAAGAAACGUCGCGGGUUAAUACCCCGCGAAACUGACGGUACCUGCAGAAUAAGCACCGGCUAACUACGUGCCAGCAGCCGCGGUAAUACGUAGGGUGCAAGCGUUAAUCGGAAUUACUGGGCGUAAAGCGUGCGCAGGCGGUUCGGAAAGAAAGAUGUGAAAUCCCAGAGCUUAACUUUGGAACUGCAUUUUUAACUACCGGGCUAGAGUGUGUCAGAGGGAGGUGGAAUUCCGCGUGUAGCAGUGAAAUGCGUAGAUAUGCGGAGGAACACCGAUGGCGAAGGCAGCCUCCUGGGAUAACACUGACGCUCAUGCACGAAAGCGUGGGGAGCAAACAGGAUUAGAUACCCUGGUAGUCCACGCCCUAAACGAUGUCAACUAGCUGUUGGGGGCCUUCGGGCCUUGGUAGCGCAGCUAACGCGUGAAGUUGACCGCCUGGGGAGUACGGUCGCAAGAUUAAAACUCAAAGGAAUUG